AAUUGCCUCCCACGUCGCCCACUUCAUCUUUCUUAACAACCCCGAACCCACCACCGCCACCCAUCUUAUUCUCCAUUGACUCCCUUCUCCUUCUAGGGUUUUUCAUUUUCUUCUCCAACUCGUACUUGAUUUUCUCUUGCACAUACUUUGGCACCCCAUCUUGUUUAGAGUACUCCACACAUUCAUUUACGCAUAUAAAUAGCCUGCCCCCCAGUUCGUCACCCGGGUAAAUCCGGAUGCAGACACAGCUUAUACACACUUGGACCGGACAUUCGGGAUGCGGUUGACCUCUCUUUAUGACUUGCGGACAGGACCUCGGAGGGCCGACAAAGCGUACAAUAAUUUUGUCUCCACAGGACAACUGUCUUCCAACAUAAAUGCUACCUUCCAGCUGUCGUGGGGAUUCGAACUUCCGAUACUCCGUGUGGAACUCUCCUGCUUUACAAAUGGAAAGAAUGUUCACUAAUAGGUAAGGUGGUCAAUGGUUAGAGACGGGAGGAUUAAUCCAUUUGGUUGAAAUAAUAGAUGACACGUUUAUUAGAAAAACUAUUAGUACUGUACGAUAGUAAAUAAUAGAAGAAAUGAACUUUUUUUUUA